CAGAAGGGGACGUCCUUGAUGUGAAUUUCACCAAGACCUGUUCCCCCGCCGAAGCCAACGGCCUCCGCAGCUCAGGAAAACCGCAGGACGCCAAAGAGGACCAGCCGCCGACAGGAAAAACAAGAAGAAAGGAAAGAAGGAAACUAUUUUUCCACCUCAAGCAGCUCCAGCUCUGCCCACCACAGGGCUGGGCUGGUGGGCAGGUGGCGAACCUGUGGAGUCACACACGCCCUCCUACCCGGCUCAGAUCAGAAGUAACUCUCAUCUCAAGGGACUACGUUCCUGAUCACUAUCAGCCUGCCACCUGUUUCUUUCAAGUGGCUCAGACUUAGCAGGCAGGAAUUGCUACUUACUGAACCCCUAAAACCUGCACCAUCUGUGGGGACCCUCCAACCUCACCCCUUCAGCUCUGACUUAACUUCCCACUGCUCAUCACUUGUUCUUUCAGCCACACGGUUCCUCCUAAUCCUGAAAAAUGUCAAGCUUAUCCCCCAUCUCAGUGUUUUGGUCUUUUCUUUUUCCCAGUGCUUCCCAGAGUGGGUUCCUCAUCACCUCUCAGGUCUCCAAACUUGAGUGGCUGGCCCCGCCCACUCUAACAGACACAAGCAUGCCCAUCAUG